UAUCAAAUAAACUAAUAAACACAACAAAAUUUUUUUGAAUUGAAGGGGGCGAUACUACGUAACGGUUUUAUUGAAGGGGGCGAUGAUUCAUUAGAGGUUGAGAAACACUGGUCUAUAUCCUAUUAACUUACAACAAGCCCUCCUAUAAAAAGUUUUAGUGAGCUAAUCUUGAGAUUGUGUGCCCACAAGUGAUAUAGGUAGCACACCUAUACCCUUGGCUACUCACACUAGACAAAUAUGUCAUUUAUUGUAUUAUAUUCUGAAAAAUUAUACUUUAUUAUUGUGAUUAAAUCAAUCAUUUAGUAAUUGAGUUAUUAAGAUGAAAAGUUACUUUUAAUUUAGAAGAAUAUAAGAAUGUAAGUUUUAUGAUCUAUUACUAUAAAUUUAAUAAAAAUACUAAAUUAUAUAUUUAUGUUCUGGAAAUCUGUCAUUAGAUUUUUUUUUUCUGUUUUAACAGAAGUGCCUUAUAACCUCUACUGCAUCUGCAGUGAGGAUAAAAUAUUUUUUAGCAUGAUAUCAUUCUGGCUUCUGAAUUUUAAUAUCUCUGGAUAAUUUUAAAAUCAAUACUCAUAUGUAGGAAUUACUAUUGCAAAUGAAGUUAUAGGAAGACAAUGAGAUCAAAUAGAAAGAGAUCAACAGCAAGUUUUAUUCAGAGCAGUUUACAGUCAUCAGAACAACCUUGUUCAUCAUUUAACAAUAAUAGCAAAAUUGAAGAGAAAAAAACCAAUGCAUCAAUCAACCUGUAUUUAAUGUAUACAUAUGUAACUCUAAAAAUAUCCAUAUUGGAAAUAAAAAAGUUUCAGAAACAGAGGAAUUAAAACAAAUCA